GCCGGUGUGGCGGAAUGGCAGACGCGGCGGACUCAAAAUCCGCUUCUCGAGAGGGAGUGGGGGGUUCGAGUCCCUUCACCGGCACCA
rnacentral:tRNA from 1 species